rnacentral:rRNA from 1 species
GGGUUGUGAGGUUAAGCGACUAAGCGUACACGGUGGAUGCCCUGGCAGUCAGAGGCGAUGAAGGACGUGCUAAUCUGCGAUAAGCGUCGGUAAGGUGAUAUGAACCGUUAUAACCGGCGAUUUCCGAAUGGGGAAACCCAGUGUGAUUCGUCACACUAUCAUUAACUGAAUCCAUAGGUUAAUGAGGCGAACCGGGGGAACUGAAACAUCUAAGUACCCCGAGGAAAAGAAAUCAACCGAGAUUCCCCCAGUAGCGGCGAGCGAACGGGGAGCAGCCCAGAGCCUGAAUCAGUGUGUGUGUUAGUGGAAGCGUCUGGAAAGGCGUGCGAUACAGGGUGACAGCCCCGUACACAAAAAUGCACAUGCUGUGAGCUCGAUGAGUAGGGCGGGACACGUGGUAUCCUGUCUGAAUAUGGGGGGACCAUCCUCCAAGGCUAAAUACUCCUGACUGACCGAUAGUGAACCAGUACCGUGAGGGAAAGGCGAAAAGAACCCCGGCGAGGGGAGUGAAAAAGAACCUGAAACCGUGUACGUACAAGCAGUGGGAGCACAGAGCAAUCUGUGUGACUGCGUACCUUUUGUAUAAUGGGUCAGCGACUUAUAUUCUGUAGCAAGGUUAACCGAAUAGGGGAGCCGAAGGGAAACCGAGUCUUAACUGGGCGUUAAGUUGCAGGGUAUAGACCCGAAACCCGGUGAUCUAGCCAUGGGCAGGUUGAAGGUUGGGUAACACUAACUGGAGGACCGAACCGACUAAUGUUGAAAAAUUAGCGGAUGACUUGUGGCUGGGGGUGAAAGGCCAAUCAAACCGGGAGAUAGCUGGUUCUCCCCGAAAGCUAUUUAGGUAGCGCCUCGUGAAUUCAUCUCCGGGGGUAGAGCACUGUUUCGGCAAGGGGGUCAUCCCGACUUACCAACCCGAUGCAAACUGCGAAUACCGGAGAAUGUUAUCACGGGAGACACACGGCGGGUGCUAACGUCCGUCGUGAAGAGGGAAACAACCCAGACCGCCAGCUAAGGUCCCAAAGUCAUGGUUAAGUGGGAAACGAUGUGGGAAGGCCCAGACAGCCAGGAUGUUGGCUUAGAAGCAGCCAUCAUUUAAAGAAAGCGUAAUAGCUCACUGGUCGAGUCGGCCUGCGCGGAAGAUGUAACGGGGCUAAACCAUGCACCGAAGCUGCGGCAGCGACGCUUAUGCGUUGUUGGGUAGGGGAGCGUUCUGUAAGCCUGUGAAGGUGUACUGUGAGGUAUGCUGGAGGUAUCAGAAGUGCGAAUGCUGACAUAAGUAACGAUAAAGCGGGUGAAAAGCCCGCUCGCCGGAAGACCAAGGGUUCCUGUCCAACGUUAAUCGGGGCAGGGUGAGUCGACCCCUAAGGCGAGGCCGAAAGGCGUAGUCGAUGGGAAACAGGUUAAUAUUCCUGUACUUGGUGUUACUGCGAAGGGGGGACGGAGAAGGCUAUGUUGGCCGGGCGACGGUUGUCCCGGUUUAAGCGUGUAGGCUGGUUUUCCAGGCAAAUCCGGAAAACUAAGGCUGAGGCGUGAUGACGAGGCACUACGGUGCUGAAGCAACAAAUGCCCUGCUUCCAGGAAAAGCCUCUAAGCAUCAGGUAACAUCAAAUCGUACCCCAAACCGACACAGGUGGUCAGGUAGAGAAUACCAAGGCGCUUGAGAGAACUCGGGUGAAGGAACUAGGCAAAAUGGUGCCGUAACUUCGGGAGAAGGCACGCUGAUAUGUAGGUGAAGCGACUUGCUCGUGGAGCUGAAAUCAGUCGAAGAUACCAGCUGGCUGCAACUGUUUAUUAAAAACACAGCACUGUGCAAACACGAAAGUGGACGUAUACGGUGUGACGCCUGCCCGGUGCCGGAAGGUUAAUUGAUGGGGUCAGCGCAAGCGAAGCUCUUGAUCGAAGCCCCGGUAAACGGCGGCCGUAACUAUAACGGUCCUAAGGUAGCGAAAUUCCUUGUCGGGUAAGUUCCGACCUGCACGAAUGGCGUAAUGAUGGCCAGGCUGUCUCCACCCGAGACUCAGUGAAAUUGAACUCGCUGUGAAGAUGCAGUGUACCCGCGGCAAGACGGAAAGACCCCGUGAACCUUUACUAUAGCUUGACACUGAACAUUGAGCCUUGAUGUGUAGGAUAGGUGGGAGGCUUUGAAGUGUGGACGCCAGUCUGCAUGGAGCCGACCUUGAAAUACCACCCUUUAAUGUUUGAUGUUCUAACGUUGACCCGUGAUCCGGGUUGCGGACAGUGUCUGGUGGGUAGUUUGACUGGGGCGGUCUCCUCCUAAAGAGUAACGGAGGAGCACGAAGGUUGGCUAAUCCUGGUCGGACAUCAGGAGGUUAGUGCAAUGGCAUAAGCCAGCUUGACUGCGAGCGUGACGGCGCGAGCAGGUGCGAAAGCAGGUCAUAGUGAUCCGGUGGUUCUGAAUGGAAGGGCCAUCGCUCAACGGAUAAAAGGUACUCCGGGGAUAACAGGCUGAUACCGCCCAAGAGUUCAUAUCGACGGCGGUGUUUGGCACCUCGAUGUCGGCUCAUCACAUCCUGGGGCUGAAGUAGGUCCCAAGGGUAUGGCUGUUCGCCAUUUAAAGUGGUACGCGAGCUGGGUUUAGAACGUCGUGAGACAGUUCGGUCCCUAUCUGCCGUGGGCGCUGGAGAACUGAGGGGGGCUGCUCCUAGUACGAGAGGACCGGAGUGGACGCAUCACUGGUGUUCGGGUUGUCAUGCCAAUGGCACUGCCCGGUAGCUAAAUGCGGAAGAGAUAAGUGCUGAAAGCAUCUAAGCACGAAACUUGCCCCGAGAUGAGUUCUCCCUGACUCCUUGAGAGUCCUGAAGGAACGUUGAAGACGACGACGUUGAUAGGCCGGGUGUGUAAGCGCAGCGAUGCGUUGAGCUAACCGGUACUAAUGAACCGUGAGGCUUAACCUUACAACGCCGAAGGUGUUU